rnacentral:rRNA from 1 species
AGAGUUUGAUUAUGGCUCAGAGCGAACGCUGGCGGUAUGCUUAACACAUGCAAGUCGAGCGCGAAAGUGACUUCGGUCAUGAGUAGAGCGGCGGACGGGUGAGUAACACGUGGAUAAUCUGCCUUUAGGACUGGGAUAACCCUGGGAAACUAGGGCUAAUACCGGAUAAGACCACAGGUUCCAUGGAACCAGGGGUAAAAGGCGGCCUUCGGGCUGUCGCCGAAAGAUGAGUCCGCGUCCCAUCAGGUAGUUGGUGAGGUAACGGCUCACCAAGCCGACGAUCGGUAGCUGGUUUGAGAGGAUGAUCAGCAACACUGGGACUGAGACACGGCCCAGACUCCUACGGGAGGCAGCAGUGGGGAAUCUUAGACAAUGGGCGCAAGCCUGAUCUAGCCAUGCCGCGUGGGUGAUGAAGGCCUUAGGGUUGUAAAGCUCUUUUACCCGGGAUGAUAAUGACAGUACCGGGAGAAUAAGCUCCGGCUAACUCCGUGCCAGCAGCCGCGGUAAU